GGAACUGUGGGGAUCUACCAGAAGAUCUCAGAAAUGACUGUCUCCCCGAUUAACAAGUGCUUACAACUCCAACAGAGAACGUGUGGAAUGGAGCCUCUGAAUCACCUCUUUAAGAGCCUCCCCCUCCCUUCCUGCUGAUGGGCAGAAUCGCAGCCUUUGGAGCAGGAGUCCCGUGUGUUUCUGCUUUGCUAGCAAAGCCAUCAAUCUUCUUUUUCCUUUUUCUCAAAACAGUGUCCUUGUUAUUGGAUGGACAUGGGGAGACCAGGACUGAUCUGUCGGCAACAGGACGUGGUGGAUAUCAUGUGGAUUUUAUAUAUGAGGUUGCUAAAGUGGACAGGCUGAGUCAUGUAUCUUGCCUAGUCACAGAGCUAGGUCUGUGUGAUUUCCAAGCCUGUUUCUUUUUGUGAAGUGUUUAUUCAGAAAACUUUCUUACAGGGUCCAUAAACAUUUUAACUCGGUUGUCUCUGGCUUUUCCAGUACCGUAUACAGAUGUGUAUCCAUCCAUCCAUCUGUGCACACACAUUCCCAUUGACAUCUGUGGGUUGGAAUGCGAGGGGGCAGGUGUGUUGACUACUGUAGGUAGAGGCUGCUUGGGUGCCUCUCCUUAAUGGAACCAUCAAACUCUUUUGUUCUGAAACUGGGUUUAAUCAGUCAAAUGUUAUCUGGGGGACUGACUCAUGCUAACCAAGCCAACUGAUAAAACAGGUAGGUGUUGCUUUGCCAAUUAAAUGUGAGAAGUGAGGCAAUUUACCAAGCUUCUUCCUUCCCACCUUGGUGGUGAUUGUGGAAGAUGUGUGGAGACGGAGCCUCCAUCAGCCUGGGUGCCUGAGUGACAGGUGAACAGACUUGUGUUGAGCAGAAGAGGGAGAGACAAAUAAACUUCCUAUUUAAUCCAUAGAGAUGAUGGGGUUGUUUGUUAUGUAUGCUCAUGUUAACCUAUCCUGACUGAUACAGUAAAUUGGUCACUCCCUCUUAGCUUACAAUGACGAACAUCCAGUCCCACACAUAUAAAGGGAGGAGUGCUUGGACCCAAAUAAGAUUUUUCAUCUAACCUACAUGAAAAUGUCAAUGACUUACAAUCCAACUAAUCAGAAUUCAAUUAAUGUAUAUGCUUCUUACCACCUUCCAAUGCACUUGUCCAGGCCACAACCACCUCUGGAUUAUUGCAAAAGCCUCCUUGUGUUAUUUUCCUCAUAUACUUUUGCCACCCCAACCUCCUCCUCUAGUCCAAUCCUGGAGUGCACCUUUUACAAAACUAAUAUUUUAGUUAUCCAUAGAUUGGGAAUAUCUUUCUGUGUUAGUGAAAUUAUUUUUCGCUGAAGGAACAUAGAUUGGAAUUCAAGGCCAAUCACUUGCCCAGGGCCCUUCCCCUAGGCAGAUCUUGGUGUACUGUGCCAAAGAGAAGGGCAGGUGUUGGCUUGAUGUACGGUGAGUUAGAACAAAGAGAACCAUCUCUCCAGGGACGGCUUCCAUUUGGCAGUGGUGCCCUGACACGUACUCAGACUCCUAACCCAGGGCUCUGUGCAUGGGAUCAAAUGUGUUGAACCAGAAGACACCAUUCCAGCUACCCGAGUUCAUCCCACAUCAGUUUAAUAUGUACUUUUUAAUGUUUUAAUGUAUCAGUGGCAAAAAUUUAAAAAGUCAAAAUUAAAAAAAAA
rnacentral:lncRNA from 1 species